UGUUAUUUAAAUAGUUUAAUUAAAAUAUUAAUUUGUGGAAUUAAAGAUUAUAAUAUAUAUAUUUAAAUA
rnacentral:tRNA from 1 species